rnacentral:rRNA from 1 species
GCUUGUCUCAAAGAUUAAGCCAUGCAUGUCUAAGUAUAAACGAUUUUAUACGUGAAACUGCGAAUGGCUCAUUAUAUCAGUUAUAGUUUAUUUGAUAAUCGAAUUUUACAUGGAUAACCGUGGUAAUUCUAGAGCUAAUACAUGCUGGUGUGCCUGACUUUUCGGAAGGGCGGUAUUUAUUAGAUAACGAACCAAUAUUCCUCUGGUCUAUUGUGGUGAAUCAUAAUAACUGAUCGAAUCGCAAAGCCUUUGGCUGCGAUAUGUCAUUCAAGUUUCUGCCCCAUCAGCUUUCGAUGGUAGUGUAUUGGACUACCAUGGCUUUUACGGGUAACGGAGAAUUAGGGUUCGAUUCCGGAGAGGGAGCCUGAGAAACGGCUACCACAUCUAAGGAAGGCAGCAGG